ensembl:snoRNA
CCGUCAGUGAUGACAAGAUCACUGCGCAAUCUGAGUUCUUAGGAACCCGGUGAUGGAGUGUGUUCUGAGACGG